CCUACGGGCGGCUGCAGUGGGGAAUAUUGGACAAUGGGCGAAAGCCUGAUCCAGCCAUGCCGCGUGUGUGAAGAAGGCCUUCGGGUUGUAAAGCACUUUCAGUGGGGAAGAAAGCCUUGGGGCUAAUACCCUCGAGGAAGGACAUCACCCACAGAAGAAGCACCGGCUAACUCCGUGCCAGCAGCCGCGGUAAUACGGAGGGUGCGAGCGUAAUCGGAAUUACUGGGCGUAAAGCGCGCGUAGGCGGUCUGAUAAGCCGGUUGUGAAAGCCCCGGGCUCAACCUGGGAACGGCAUCCGGAACUGUCAGGCUAGAGUGCAGGAGAGGAAGGUAGAAUUCCCGGUGUAGCGGUGAAAUGCGUAGAGAUCGGGAGGAAUACCAGUGGCGAAGGCGGCCUUCUGGACUGACACUGACGCUGAGGUGCGAAAGCGUGGGUAGCAAACAGGAUUAGAUACCCGGGUAGUC
rnacentral:rRNA from 1 species